rnacentral:lncRNA from 10 species
GGUGCUGCUCUGGGCCACCGUGUUGGGCUUGCUCUGCCAGCGACUGGCUGCACGUCUGGGCGUGGUGACAGGCAAGGACUUGGGCGAGGUCUGCCAUCUCUACUACCCUAAGUCGGAGUCUCGCUCCGUCGCCCAGUCAGGAGUGCAAUGGUGCGAUGUCAGCUCACUGCAACCUCUACCUCCCAGGUACAAGUGAUUCUCCUGACUCAGCCUCUCAAGUAGCUGGGAUUACAGGCGCCCACCACCAUCAUCGGCUAAUUUUUGUAUUUUUAGUA